UACGGAGGGUGCAAGCGUUAUCCGGAUUUACUGGGUUUAAAGGGUGCGUAGGCGGGCCCUUAAGUCAGUGGUGAAAGCUCCGAGCUUAACUCGGAAACUGCCAUUGAUACUAUAGGCCUUGAAUUCGGUCGAGGUUGGCGGAAUGUGUCGUGUAGCGGUGAAAUGCUUAGAUAUGACACAGAACACCGAUUGCGAAGGCAGCUAGCUAGACCGACAUUGACGCUGAGGCACGAAAGCGUGGGGAUCAAACAGG
rnacentral:rRNA from 1 species